AUCCAGCUGACGAGUCCCAUAUAGGACGAAACGGGCAUACUGGAU
rnacentral:hammerhead_ribozyme from 1 species